AGCAGCCAUUCAUUUAAAGAGUGCGUAACAGCUCACUGGUCGAGCGACAGGGCAUCGAUAAUAAUCGGGCAUCAAACACAGUACCGAAGCUUAGGAUUCCGCCGUAAGGCGGACUGGUAGGGGAGCAUUCUAUUCAGCGACGAAGGUACCUGGUGAUGGGUAUUGGAGCGGAUAGAAAAGCAAAUGUAGGCAUAAGUAACGAUAAGGCAGGAGAGAAACCUGCCCACCGAAAGACUAAGGUUUCCGCGGCAAUGCUAAUCAGCCGCGGGUUAGUCGGGACCUAAGGCGAAGCCGGAGGGCGUAGUCGAUGGACAAUCAGUUAAUAUUCUGAUACUACCUUAUAUAGCGACGGGGUGACGGAGUAGUGAAAGGUCCGCCCGGAGACGGAAUACCGGGUUAAAGGGUGUAGAUAUAGGACUUGCAGGCAAAUCCGCAAGUUUUGUCGAACCUGAUAGUACUACAAUCCUACGGGAGCGUAGAUAGUGACCCUAAUCAGACUUCCAAGAAAAACCUCUAGUAAUGUAUAAGGUACCCGUACCGUAAACCGACACAGGUAGUUGAGGAGAGAAUCCUAAGGUGCUCGAGUGAUUCAUGGUUAAGGAACUAGGCAAAAUCGCCUCGUAACUUCGGGAGAAGAGGCGCCCUGGUGUAAGAACCAGGGCCGCAGUGAAAAGGCCCAGGCGACUGUUUAUCAAAAACACAUGGCUUUGCUAAAUUGAAAGAUGACGUAUAAGGCCUGACACCUGCCCGGUGCCGGAAGGUUAAAAGGAGAUGUUAUCCUCGGAGAAGCAUUGAAUUGAAGCCCCGGUAAACGGCGGCCGUAACAAUAACGGUCCUAAGGUAGCGAAAUUCCUUGUCGGGUAAGUUCCGACCCGCACGAAAGGCGUAACGAUUUGGACACUGUCUCGGAGAGGGACUCGGUGAAAUAGACUUGUCUGUGAAGAUGCGGACUACCUGCACCUGGACAGAAAGACCCUAUGAAGCUUUACUGUAACUUGAGACUGAUUUCGGGCUUUAUUUGCGCAGCAUAGGUGGGAGGCUUUGAAGCAGGCACGCUAGUGUCUGUGGAGCCAUCCUUGAAAUACCACCCUGGUA
rnacentral:rRNA from 11 species